ACUAAGCGUACACGGUGGAUGCCCUGGCAGUCAGAGGCGAUGAAGGACGUGCUAAUCUGCGAUAAGCGUCGGUAAGGUGAUAUGAACCGUUAUAACCGGCGAUUUCCGAAUGGGGAAACCCAGUGUGAUUCGUCACACUAUCAUUAACUGAAUCCAUAGGUUAAUGAGGCGAACCGGGGGAACUGAAACAUCUAAGUACCCCGAGGAAAAGAAAUCAACCGAGAUUCCCCCAGUAGCGGCGAGCGAACGGGGAGGAGCCCAGAGCCUGAAUCAGUGUGUGUGUUAGUGGAAGCGUCUGGAAAGGCGCGCGAUACAGGGUGACAGCCCCGUACACAAAAAUGCACAUGCUGUGAGCUCGAUGAGUAGGGCGGGACACGUGGUAUCCUGUCUGAAUAUGGGGGGACCAUCCUCCAAGGCUAAAUACUCCUGACUGACCGAUAGUGAACCAGUACCGUGAGGGAAAGGCGAAAAGAACCCCGGCGAGGGGAGUGAAAAAGAACCUGAAACCGUGUACGUACAAGCAGUGGGAGCCUCUUUUAUGGGGUGACUGCGUACCUUUUGUAUAAUGGGUCAGCGACUUAUAUUCUGUAGCAAGGUUAACCGAAUAGGGGAGCCGAAGGGAAACCGAGUCUUAACUGGGCGUUAAGUUGCAGGGUAUAGACCCGAAACCCGGUGAUCUAGCCAUGGGCAGGUUGAAGGUUGGGUAACACUAACUGGAGGACCGAACCGACUAAUGUUGAAAAAUUAGCGGAUGACUUGUGGCUGGGGGUGAAAGGCCAAUCAAACCGGGAGAUAGCUGGUUCUCCCCGAAAGCUAUUUAGGUAGCGCCUCGUGAAUUCAUCUCCGGGGGUAGAGCACUGUUUCGGCAAGGGGGUCAUCCCGACUUACCAACCCGAUGCAAACUGCGAAUACCGGAGAAUGUUAUCACGGGAGACACACGGCGGGUGCUAACGUCCGUCGUGAAGAGGGAAACAACCCAGACCGCCAGCUAAGGUCCCAAAGUCAUGGUUAAGUGGGAAACGAUGUGGGAAGGCCCAGACAGCCAGGAUGUUGGCUUAGAAGCAGCCAUCAUUUAAAGAAAGCGUAAUAGCUCACUGGUCGAGUCGGCCUGCGCGGAAGAUGUAACGGGGCUAAACCAUGCACCGAAGCUGCGGCAGCGACACUGUGUGUUGUUGGGUAGGGGAGCGUUCUGUAAGCCUGUGAAGGUGUGCUGUGAGGCAUGCUGGAGGUAUCAGAAGUGCGAAUGCUGACAUAAGUAACGAUAAAGCGGGUGAAAAGCCCGCUCGCCGGAAGACCAAGGGUUCCUGUCCAACGUUAAUCGGGGCAGGGUGAGUCGACCCCUAAGGCGAGGCCGAAAGGCGUAGUCGAUGGGAAACAGGUUAAUAUUCCUGUACUUGGUGUUACUGCGAAGGGGGGACGGAGAAGGCUAUGUUGGCCGGGCGACGGUUGUCCCGGUUUAAGCGUGUAGGCUGGUUUUCCAGGCAAAUCCGGAAAAUCAAGGCUGAGGCGUGAUGACGAGGCACUACGGUGCUGAAGCAACAAAUGCCCUGCUUCCAGGAAAAGCCUCUAAGCAUCAGGUAACAUCAAAUCGUACCCCAAACCGACACAGGUGGUCAGGUAGAGAAUACCAAGGCGCUUGAGAGAACUCGGGUGAAGGAACUAGGCAAAAUGGUGCCGUAACUUCGGGAGAAGGCACGCUGAUAUGUAGGUGAAGUCCCUCGCGGAUGGAGCUGAAAUCAGUCGAAGAUACCAGCUGGCUGCAACUGUUUAUUAAAAACACAGCACUGUGCAAACACGAAAGUGGACGUAUACGGUGUGACGCCUGCCCGGUGCCGGAAGGUUAAUUGAUGGGGUCAGCGCAAGCGAAGCUCUUGAUCGAAGCCCCGGUAAACGGCGGCCGUAACUAUAACGGUCCUAAGGUAGCGAAAUUCCUUGUCGGGUAAGUUCCGACCUGCACGAAUGGCGUAAUGAUGGCCAGGCUGUCUCCACCCGAGACUCAGUGAAAUUGAACUCGCUGUGAAGAUGCAGUGUACCCGCGGCAAGACGGAAAGACCCCGUGAACCUUUACUAUAGCUUGACACUGAACAUUGAGCCUUGAUGUGUAGGAUAGGUGGGAGGCUUUGAAGUGUGGACGCCAGUCUGCAUGGAGCCGACCUUGAAAUACCACCCUUUAAUGUUUGAUGUUCUAACGUGGACCCGUGAUCCGGGUUGCGGACAGUGUCUGGUGGGUAGUUUGACUGGGGCGGUCUCCUCCUAAAGAGUAACGGAGGAGCACGAAGGUUGGCUAAUCCUGGUCGGACAUCAGGAGGUUAGUGCAAUGGCAUAAGCCAGCUUGACUGCGAGCGUGACGGCGCGAGCAGGUGCGAAAGCAGGUCAUAGUGAUCCGGUGGUUCUGAAUGGAAGGGCCAUCGCUCAACGGAUAAAAGGUACUCCGGGGAUAACAGGCUGAUACCGCCCAAGAGUUCAUAUCGACGGCGGUGUUUGGCACCUCGAUGUCGGCUCAUCACAUCCUGGGGCUGAAGUAGGUCCCAAGGGUAUGGCUGUUCGCCAUUUAAAGUGGUACGCGAGCUGGGUUUAGAACGUCGUGAGACAGUUCGGUCCCUAUCUGCCGUGGGCGCUGGAGAACUGAGGGGGGCUGCUCCUAGUACGAGAGGACCGGAGUGGACGCAUCACUGGUGUUCGGGUUGUCAUGCCAAUGGCACUGCCCGGUAGCUAAAUGCGGAAGAGAUAAGUGCUGAAAGCAUCUAAGCACGAAACUUGCCCCGAGAUGAGUUCUCCCUGACCCUUUAAGGGUCCUGAAGGAACGUUGAAGACGACGACGUUGAUAGGCCGGGUGUGUAAGCGCAGCGAUGCGUUGAGCUAACCGGUACUAAUGAACCGUGAGGCUUAACC
rnacentral:rRNA from 1 species